UUUCCGUAGGUGAACCUGCGGAACGAUCAUUAUUGAACAACCUAGGUGGGAGAACUUUCCCUCAACCGACUGGUCGAGCAAGACCGAGUGACCAAACAACAAACCAUCUGACACCUACGUGAACCACCGCGUGGGUCCACCUUUGGCUUCUACGGAGGGGUGCUUACGUUUUUACACAAACUUUGUAUGCAGUGUAGAAAGUAUUUUUUGUUUUUGCGAUCACGCUAUCAAAACAACUUUCAACAACGGAUCUUUUGGCUCGCGCAUCGACGAAGAACG
rnacentral:misc_RNA from 1 species